rnacentral:rRNA from 1 species
AGCAGCCGCGGUAAUUCCAGCUCCAAUAGCGUAUAUUAAAGUUGUUGCAGUUAAAAAGCUCGUAGUUGAAUUUCGGGGUUAGUAGGUUGGUCAUGCCUCUGGUAUGUACUGGUCUCACUGAUUCCUCCUUCCUGAUGAAUCUUAAUGCCAUUAAUUUGGUGUUUUGGGGAAUUUGGACUGUUACUUUGAAAAAAUUAGAGUGUUUAAAGCAAGCUAACGCUUGAAUACAUUAGCAUGGAAUAAUGAAAUAGGACGUUCGAUCCUAUUUUGUUGGUUUCUAGGAUUGACGUAAUGAUUAAUAGGGAUAGUUGGGGGCAUUAGUAUUCAAUUGUCGGAGGUGAAAUUCUUGGAUUUAUUGAAGACUAACUACUGCGAAAGCAUUUGCCAAGGAUGUUUUCAUUAAUCAAGAACGAAAGUUAGGGGAUCGAAGACGAUCAGAUACCGUCGUAGUCUUAACCAUAAACUAUGCCGACUAGGGAUCGGAUGAUGUUAAUUUUUUAAUGACUCA